UCCAGCAGCCAUAUCACUCUGCAACUCACAACUGGCAACCCACUGAAGCUAAGCAGGUGUGAGGCUGGUCAGUACCUGGAUGGGAAACCUCUUGGGAAAAACUAAGGUUGCUGCUGGAA
rnacentral:rRNA from 1 species